rnacentral:rRNA from 1 species
UACGUAGGGUGCAAGCGUUAAUCGGAAUUACUGGGCGUAAAGCGUGCGCAGGCGGUUGUGCAAGACAGAUGUGAAAUCCCCGGGCUCAACCUGGGAACUGCAUUUGUGACUGCAUGGCUAGAGUACGGUAGAGGGGGAUGGAAUUCCGCGUGUAGCAGUGAAAUGCGUAGAUAUGCGGAGGAACACCGAUGGCGAAGGCAAUCCCCUGGACCUGUACUGACGCUCAUGCACGAAAGCGUGGGGAGCAAACAGG